AAAAUUGGCCCUAUAGCGACAGAACCGUCGCUAUAGGUGUUCUUGAGCUUGUUCUUGAGCUUCAUGUCAGUGUGUAGGGUAGGUGGUUUGACCACCUAUAAAUCUUAGAUUCUUAAGUUUCUGGGCUGCUUGAUGUUAUAAACAUAUACUAUUAACGUAGUACUACAAUAAAAAACUAAGUUCAGAUCCAUACAACAAUAAAUCAGAGAGAUCAAAGCCUCCAAACAUUCUGACAACACUGUUCUUCAUUUUUGGGUUUUCCAGAAAAUGAAGAACAGCCGAAGGUGCUAGAUCUAGAUCCUUAUAACUUACGCUACCGGUUUGAUUUAUGAGAUUUAAAGAUUCACACUUGUAGUUGAGAUGUCAAAGAACAUCUCUAUAUAAUCAGAUUAGUCUAAAAACAACACCAAAUGAAGAUUUCAUCCGGUCAAACUACCUGUCAGAAAACGCCCUUUGAAGAUCUGGGUUACCCAGAAUCUUCUUCCGACAUGAUGGUCAACGCUCGUUUGACCCUGAUUUAAUCCGAUUUCGGGUAUGAUCUGGGAGUUCUAGACGCAGGAAUGGGUAGCCUACAUGUCAGUCUACAAAAAUAUAACAACAACAUGGCCAAACGUAUUAACAGUAGCAAGAUCCAUGACCUUGAAAAGCUUGUCCGAAAUUCUGGGAAAUUUCGGGGUUGCCCAGAAACAGAGUUCGUGAUCGGUCAACGAGCUUUGACCGAGUAUAACUGAAGAUCUAGGCUUGAUCUGACCCUGUAUCCAGUUUCAUAUCAAAGCCUACAUGGCAUACUACACAUACAAAACAUAAAACACACUAAACAUCUUACACAGAAAAAUCUAGAGGCCCUAACAUUAGGCUGUCAGGCCUUAUUUUUUAACUUUUCUAGAUUUCUUAAAAUGCUAUUCUCGAGCAAUUUGAUGUUAUGGAUCUGUGUUCUAGCAACCCAGAUCACUAAAAAACACCUUCUAACACAACUUUAAACAAUAGAUCAUAACAUCUAACAUCAAGUCUAUGAAUUUCGAAAAUUAGGGUUUAUACCUCCUUUAAUGCUUUGAUCUUUGAAUCUGUUAUUGGAAGGCUAAGAAUUGAUCCUAUCUUUGAUUCUCACACUCUCUCUCUCUCUCUCUCUAAGUUUCAAAAAUGAAGAGAGAGAAUGGGCUUGGAGAAAUGAAAAAGUAAAGUAAGUUUUUUCUCUUCUCUAAUCUAUACAUAUGUUUUGAUUCAAUGCAUUUAGCUAGCAAAUGAAGGUUGAUAUGUGUAAUAUUAGUCACAUGCUAGGUUCGGGUUGGUGAGCAAAUCACCUUAGGUCUAGAUCUACAAGCAACAUACUAAAAUAAUGCACAAAGGGUAAAAUAGUCAUUUUGAUUUUAAU
rnacentral:lncRNA from 1 species